rnacentral:lncRNA from 1 species
UUUGUGCCAUCCUCUGUUACUGGAAGGAGUAUUGAUUAGCGAACGCCUUUCAAACUUCUCACCUGUCUUCGAUGGUAAUUUACUUAUAGCCUUAAACCCCUUUUCCCGGGAUUGGCCAAUUUUAUAAAUACUGAAGAAGAAGUCGAGAGAGGGCUCUACUCCUACUUCGUGGCAGAAAGCAAUGAAGGCAAGAAUAUGAAUGUAG